UUGAAGUCAAACCAUAAAGGGAGAAAGUGUAUCAAAAACGAAGAGAUGGUGGUGCAAGGAAAUGAAAAUCCGCAGUUUCAAGAAAAGGAGGAAAACGAUGGCCAAGGGAACAAAGAAGCAGAUACAAAGAAACAGCAGAACGAUGGCAUCCAGGAAAUUCAAGAAGUGGAGAAUGACGGAACUGGACCUGUGAAAACACAAGAAAUCCUAUUAAACGACGUAUUCGAAAGCAAGCUCUAAUAGAGAGGAAACGCUUAUCGAAAUCACGCAWAUGAAAUCCGACUGGCCAAAAAGAACAUCCACAGCUUUGAAACCUUUGAAUUAAA